rnacentral:lncRNA from 13 species
CCACCCGGGACUCGAGAGCCGUGCAGGGCUGAGCCUCGCGCCCCGAGGCACCCCGAGCCAAGUCAGCCCUGCAGCCCGCGGCGCCGGAACUUGGAGGUGCGGUGAGUGGGGGUGGGGCGCUGGGCCGGCGGGAGGUGGCUGUGGCCGGGUGCCGGUUCCUGGCUCUAGAAGUCCUUUCGCGUCUUCUAGAAUCUGGGGCUGCAUUGGCCCUCCGAGCUCUCCCGACUGCCAAUGUCGAAGAGACAGCGGGUCCAGACCAGGGACAUCCCCUACACCCGCGUCCAGGACUUGGGUUUCUUCCCUCUUCCAGGGGAGAAGCCCUCCCACUGGGCGUCGCGGCGAGCCCCCAGUGGUUUCCGUUUGCUUUUUUACAGUACCCUCCACCCCGCCCCAGCCCGGCCCCACUCGGGCCUUGGUCCCACCGCAAAGGGGCGAGGAAUCCCCGGAAGAGUCGCGAUGACUGGGGAGUCCGGGACCUCGGCUCCCGGUGGAGGAGCUGCCGCCACUCUGUUGGUCUUGGGCUAGCCCAGCUCCCAGGAUCCUGGGCUGGAGAGACUCGUCGCGGCCCCGGGCCCGUUGGCACCGGCAGGAAGGAGGACCCGGCGGCGGGCUCUGCCUGGGCUUGCCUGGGCUUGUUCCGAGCCGGCUGCUUCCCGGUGACCAAGCAGAUCGGGGGCAUUUGGAGAUUUUGCGGGAGUCCUGCAGCCAAGCCCCGGGGCAGGAGAGGCCUGGAAGCCUGCACUACCUGCUCGCUCCGCCCCAGCGGGCACCCAGCUACUGAGUCAGAACUUCUGCAGUGCCCCGAUCUUGGCGAAACCUCCGCCUCCCCGGUUCAAGCGAUUGAACCUGCUUCAGCCUCCGCCUCACUGAAACCUCCGCCUCCUGGGUUCAAGUGA